AGGCUUAUGGUGCAAUGGUUAGCACUUUGGUUUCCAAAACCAACAAUGAGGGUUCAAGUCCUUCUAAGCCUG
rfam:Monoraphidium neglectum strain SAG 48.87 mitochondrion, whole genome shotgun sequence.